rnacentral:rRNA from 1 species
AUGCGAACACAAACUUCAGGCAUCCAAGAAAGAAGUCAAGAUCGAAAUCGAAGCAUUGUCAUUGGGUUGAAGAUCAAUUCAUAUCGACAAGACUUUCCAUUCAUCUUUUUGUUGAUAUUUGGAUUCCGUUUUCAAAUAAAGUCAUCUUGUAGUUAGAAAUCACCUUUAGAAUCAUCA